GACGAACGCUGGCGGCGUGCUUAACACAUGCAAGUCGUACGGUAAGGCCCUUUCGGGGGUACACGAGUGGCGCACGGGUGAGUAACACGUGAGUAACCUGCCCACAACUUUGGGAUAACGCUAGGAAACUGGUGCUAAUACUGGAUAUGUGCUCCUGCUGCAUGGUGGGGGUUGGAAAGCUCCGGCGGGUGUGGGUGGACUCGCGGCCUAGCGGCUUGUUGGUGGGGUAGUGGCCUACCAAGGCGGCGACGGGUAGCCGGCCUGGGGGGGUGACCGGCCACAUUGGGACUGAGAUACGGCCCAGACUCCUACGGGAGGCAGCAGUGGGGAAUCUUGCACGAUGGGCGCCAGCCUGAUGCAGCAACGCCGCGGGCGGGAUGACGGCCUUCGGGUUGUAAACCGCUUUCAGCAGGGACGAAGCUUUUUGUGACGGUACCUGCAGAAGAAGCACCGGCUAACUACGUG
rnacentral:rRNA from 1 species